UACGUAGGGUGCGAGCGUUAAUCGGAAUUACUGGGCGUAAAGCGUGCGCAGGCGGUUCGUUAAGUCAGAUGUGAAAGCCCCGGGCUCAACCUGGGAACUGCAUUUGAAACUGGCGGGCUUGAGUGUGGCAGAGGGGGGUGGAAUUCCGCGUGUAGCAGUGAAAUGCGUAGAGAUGCGGAGGAACACCGAUGGCGAAGGCAGCCCCCUGGGCCAACACUGACGCUCAGGCACGAAAGCGCGGGGAGCAAACAGG
rnacentral:rRNA from 1 species